rnacentral:rRNA from 1 species
GUUAGCGGCGGACGGGUGAGUAACACGUGGGCAACCUGCCCGUAAGACCGGGAUAACUUCGGGAAACCGGAGCUAAUACCGGAUAACACCGAAGACCGCAUGGUCUUUGGUUGAAAGGCGGCUUUGGCUGUCACUUACGGAUGGGCCCGCGGCGCAUUAGCUAGUUGGUGAGGUAACGGCUCACCAAGGCGACGAUGCGUAGCCGACCUGAGAGGGUGAUCGGCCACACUGGGACUGAGACACGGCCCAGACUCCUACGGGAGGCAGCAGUAGGGAAUCUUCCGCAAUGGACGAAAGUCUGACGGAGCAACGCCGCGUGAGCGAAGAAGGUCUUCGGAUUGUAAAGCUCUGUUGUUAGGGAAGAACAAGUACCGUUCGAAUAGGGCGGUACCGUGACGGUACCUAACGAGAAAGCCACGGCUAACUACGUGCCAGCAGCCGCGGUAAUACGUAGGUGGCAAGCGUUGUCCGGAAUUAUUG